rnacentral:rRNA from 1 species
AUUGAACGCUGGCGGAAUGCUUUACACAUGCAAGUCGAAUGGUAGAGGGGGCAACCCCUCGAGAGUGGCGAACGGGUGAGUAAUAUAUCGGAACGUGCCCAGUCGUGGGGGAUAACGUAGCGAAAGUUACGCUAAUACCGCAUACGGUCUAAGGAUGAAAGCGGGGGAUCGCAAGACCUCGCGCGAUUGGAGCGGCCGAUAUCAGAUUAGGUAGUUGGUGGGGUAAAGGCUCACCAAGCCAACGAUCUGUAGCUGGUCUGAGAGGACGACCAGCCACACUGGAACUGAGACACGGUCCAGACUCCUACGGGAGGCAGCAGUGGGGAAUUUUGGACAAUGGACGCAAGUCUGAUCCAGCCAUUCCGCGUGCAGGAUGAAGGCCCUCGGGUUGUAAACUGCUUUUGUACGGAACGAAAAGGUCUCUCUUAAUACGGGGGACUCAUGACGGUACCGUAAGAAUAAGCACCGGCUAACUACGUGCCAGCAGCCGCCGUAAAAC